rnacentral:rRNA from 2 species
AAAUUGAAGAGUUUGAUCAUGGCUCAGAUUGAACGCUGGCGGCAGGCCUAACACAUGCAAGUCGAACGGUAACAGGAAGAAGCUUGCUUCUUUGCUGACGAGUGGCGGACGGGUGAGUAAUGUCUGGGAAACUGCCUGAUGGAGGGGGAUAACUACUGGAAACGGUAGCUAAUACCGCAUAACGUCGCAAGACCAAAGAGGGGGACCUUCGGGCCUCUUGCCAUCGGAUGUGCCCAGAUGGGAUUAGCUAGUAGGUGGGGUAACGGCUCACCUAGGCGACGAUCCCUAGCUGGUCUGAGAGGAUGACCAGCCACACUGGAACUGAGACACGGUCCAGACUCCUACGGGAGGCAGCAGUGGGGAAUAUUGCACAAUGGGCG